rnacentral:rRNA from 1 species
AUGCAGUCGAACGAAGUCUUCGGACUUAGUGGCGCACGGGUGCGUAACGCGUGGGAAUCUGCCCUUGGGUACGGAAUAACUCAGAGAAAUUUGUGCUAAUACCGUAUAAUGUCUUCGGACCAAAGAUUUAUCGCCCAAGGAUGAGCCCGCGUAAGAUUAGCUAGUUGGUGGGGUAAAAGCCUACCAAGGCGACGAUCUUUAGCUGGUCUGAGAGGAUGAUCAGCCACACUGGGACUGAGACACGGCCCAGACUCCUACGGGAGGCAGCAGUGGGGAAUAUUGGACAAUGGGCGAAAGCCUGAUCCAGCAAUGCCGCGUGAGUGAUGAAGGCCUUAGGGUUGUAAAGCUCUUUUACCCGGGAUGAUAAUGACAGUACCGGGAGAAUAAGCUCCGGCUAACUCCGUGCCAGCAGCCGCGGUAAUACGGAGGGAGCUAGCGUUGUUCGGAAUUACUGGGCGUAAAGCGCGCGUAGGCGGUUUUUUAAGUCAGAGGUGAAAGCCCAGUGCUCAACACUGGAACUGCCUUUGAAACUGGAAAACUUGAAUCUUGGAGAGGUCAGUGGAAUUCCGAGUGUAGAGGUGAAAUUCGUAGAUAUUCGGAAGAACACCAGUGGCGA